CUGGCUCAGGAUGAACGCUAGCUACAGGCUUAACACAUGCAAGUCGAGGGCAGCAUGAAGUUGCUUGCAAACUUGAUGGCGACCGGCGCACGGGUGAGUAACGCGUAUCCAACCUUCCCGUUACUAGGGAAUAGCCCGGCGAAAGUCGGAUUAAUGCCCUAUGUUCUCCUUUGCGGGCAUCUAACGAGGAGCAAAGAUUCAUCGGUAAGGGAUGGGGAUGCGUCUGAUUAGCCAGUUGGCGGGGUAACGGCCCACCAAGGCGACGAUCAGUAGGGGUUCUGAGAGGAAGGUCCCCCACAUUGGUACUGAGACACGGACCAAACUCCUACGGGAGGCAGCAGUGAGGAAUAUUGGUCAAUGGACGCGAGUCUGAACCAGCCAAGUAGCGUGCAGGAAUGACUGCCCUAUGGGUUGUAAACUGCUUUUAUGCGGGAAUAAAGUCAGGUACGCGUACCUGUUUGUAUGUACCGCAUGAAUAAGGACCGGCUAAUUCCGUGCCAGCCGCAGC
rnacentral:rRNA from 1 species